CAUCUAUUCUCUCCGUCCGAAAAUACUUGUCGUGAGAAUAAAUGUAUCUAGAUGUAUAAUAAUUUUAAAUACAUUCAUUUGUAUUCAUUUUUAUAACAACUAAUUUUGGACGGAGGGAGUAUUAU
rfam:Hordeum vulgare subsp. vulgare, WGS project CAJW01000000 data, contig: morex_contig_65347